rnacentral:rRNA from 1 species
ACAGCAGUAGCCGCGGUAAUACGUAGGGUGCGUGCGUUAAUCGGAAUUACUGGGCGUAAAGCGUGCGCAGGCGGUUGUGUAAGACAGGUGUGAAAUCCCCGGGCUUAACCUGGGAACUGCGCUUGUGACUGCACAGCUAGAGUAUGGCAGAGGGGGGUGGAAUUCCACGUGUAGCAGUGAAAUGCGUAGAGAUGUGGAGGAACACCGAUGGCGAAGGCAGCCCCCUGGGCCAAUACUGACGCUCAUGCACGAAAGCGUGGGGAGCAAACAGGAUUAGAGACCCCUGUAGUCCCUGUCUCUUAUAC